AUGAACGCUAGCUACAGGCUUAACACAUGCAAGUCGAGGGGCAGCAUUGGGAUAGCUGCUAUCCAGAUGGCGACCGGCGCACGGGUGAGUAACGCGUAUCCAACCUUCCCUAUAGUAGAGAAUAGCCCGGCGAAAGUCGGAUUAAUGCUCUAUGUUGUGUUUUGAGGACAUCUGACGAACACCAAAGGUUCACCGCUAUAGGAUGGGGAUGCGUCUGAUUAGCUUGUUGGCGGGGUAACGGCCCACCAAGGCGACGAUCAGUAGGGGUUCUGAGAGGAAGGUCCCCCACAUUGGUACUGAGACACGGACCAAACUCCUACGGGAGGCAGCAGUGAGGAAUAUUGGUCAAUGGGCGAGAGCCUGAACCAGCCAAGUAGCGUGCAGGAUGAACCUGCCCUAUGGGUUGUAAACUGCUUUUAUCAGGGAAUAAAGUGCGGCACGUGUGCCGUUUUGUAUGUACCUGAUGAAUAAGGACCGGCUAAUUCCGUGCCAGCAGCUGC
rnacentral:rRNA from 1 species